GUGCAUUUUUAGUUGCUAACCCCGCCCUCUUGUCAUGUCACAUGAUCUAGCCUAGCUUUACUUUGCGGUUCAGUGUUUGGUAAAUUACAUAGCACAAUUUUGUUAUUUUCCUACAGGUUCUUUAGCGAUUAGUCCCACCUGGCUAAGGUGCAAUGUCGUCGUGGGGACAAGGCGACAGACGGCCUCAACUCAAACGGAGGUCAUGAGGAGUUAGACCAACAGCAUGACUACUCCGGUAACAACGUGGACUAUGAAGGAUAUCAACAAAAUGCUUCUCUCAAGGUUUUACAAUCCAGCUGACAACCGUAGUGCCCUCUACCAGCGGUUCUACAAGCAACUUCACAAGGCACCUGCUGGCUGUGUGGUCCUGUCUAUGAGCAACAAGAGCAUGCGAGUACCUCACCUUCAAGCAAAUAGGGAAUAGCCAUGGGGAUUACCCCAAACCGAUAGGUCACUGUUUGCAGGACCACGGCCUCUCCGUGGAAAUGAUUUACCUGCAGGCGGAGUCGGGCCUGACCCGGGCCCUACAAGAUCUCCGCUCCGACGGUUCCCCCUUAUGUAUUCUCGUCGAAUAGACCAAUGUAGCUCUGUCCUCGUGCACAGUAAUCAUAUUUUCACAAUCCCGCAAUCCAUCGCAACAUGCCCAAGGACCAUGCCAUGGACUUUGUGAUGGCGGAGAAUGGCCGUGGGCUUGGGAAGCAGAUGCAGCAGAAGGACCCUGCAGAAACGGGGGCGCGCGGGCGGUCGAGCUUGUGGAUGACUACCUAGAAAGGGAGAAGGUGGAGAAGCAUGCUGUGCCCUCUGACACGCGCCAGCUGCUCUUCUUCCUGGCCGAUGGAGUCCACCUGUACCCUGAGGAGCUGAGCACCAUUGCAAAGUAUCUCCACAACCGCCAGGACCAUCUGCAAGCCACGUCCACUGAGACAUCUGAUGGCCCCCUUCCUGAGAGGACGAAGAUGUUGCCUCCUGGUUUAGGGAAACCCCCACCGCUGCUACCCACCCCUUCAGGCCCUCGUGGCAGAGAGACACCUCCUGGGAUGAGAGAAAUAACUGUUAUAAAACUAGAAAUGUUCUACAGGACAAAUGGGCAUUAGAUG